UAGGGAAUCUUCCACAAUGGACGCAAGUCUGAUGGAGCAACGCCGCGUGAGUGAAGAAGGUUUUCGGAUCGUAAAGCUCUGUUGUUGGUGAAAAAGGNUAGAGGCAGUAACUGGUCUUUAUUUGACGGUAAUCAACCAGAAAGUCACGGCUAACUACGUGUCAG
rnacentral:rRNA from 1 species